AUGAUUCUUCGUUGACCCCCAGAUCAGAGGCCAACGAAGAAUCUUAAGUUUUAAAUAUAGGGUAAAAGUACCGAAUAUGAGUCCAUUCCCUUAUAUGAGACCCCAGUCUAUUUGGCCCCAUAGAUGCUGGUAUCUAACGGUAAGCAUUAUAACUUGUAGCAAUCACCAUUUUAGGUAUUCGGAGUGUGUAAGAAGAACCUGCCCAGACCAAGCGUGUUUCUGUUCCUUUUUAAGUGUUUUUCAGCUUUUGGAGUUUUUGAAGCGUAUAGGAUCACGUCGAUAUUCCAUAACAAAGAUAAGAUAUCUUUCUUUAAGUUUAAAACUAUUGGGUAGUGGAAGGAACAAAGAAAUUAGUAAGUAGGCUGAACGUCAUUGUAUGCUUAAUCUAGCCUGAUACAAGGUGGCUUUUCUUGUAGUAUCUAAAGUGCCUAAUACGAGACCCUCAAUGGAUCCUAAUAUGAUACAGGGUCUCAUAUUCGGAUCGCAUUUAUUUUAAUUUAUGGUUGUUUUAGAAAUUGAAAAAUAAAACCUAAAAUGAUAUGUUCACAAAUUGCAUUUAUUAAAAAAACCCAAAUUAUGUUAAUUUAUGUAAUAAGGCUGACUUUUCUACAUUGGUUCUUCCUGAAUAUUGUUCACAUAGAUAUUUCCACCACAAAGAAGAUGGAAGACGUGGGAUACUGUUCUGAUGAUUCGUGCAGUUCAGUUAGUACGAAGCGGAGAAAUGGGCUACAAGAGAGCAGCAAAACAUUUGCAGGUACCUAAGGGAAUGCUUGAGAAUUAUGUUAAAGACACCACUAAAUCUCCAGAUUCUCUAGUCCUAGUAAACCUAGGCAGAAAGCCAGCUUUAAAAAAAGAACUGGAAAAUAUGCUCAUUAAAUACUGCAUCGAAAUGGAUAAGAGAUACUAUGGUUAUUUUUUGUGGGAAUCUGUAUUCAGAAGACAAAAGAGGUGAACAAUGGAAGCAAUGUACCAAGUGUUACAUGUGGGCUCAUGAACUUUGCAGAGCAGACGAUCGUUUUAUUUUCGUUCUUGCUCAAAAAAAGAAAAAAAAACAUUUCGAUAGGAAAGAAAUAAAGAAUUUU
rnacentral:lncRNA from 1 species